GCGAUGGUGGUGUAGGGGUUAAGCACGCAACCAUGUGUAGAGGCUAUAGUCCUCGAUGCAGCUGUCUUGGGUUCAAGUCCCGGACCUGGCGACCUUUGCU